GAAAGUAAGCAAGGGCAGACGGUGGAUGCCUUGGCUCUCGGAGGCGAAGAAGGACGUGAUAAGCUGCGAAAAGCCCGGGGGAGAUGCAAAUAAUCCUUGAUCCCGGGAUAUCCGAAUGGGGCAACCCGGCAGGUUGAAGGCCUGUCACCUUGAAAUAAGGAGCAAACGCGGGGAACUGAAACAUCUAAGUACCCGUAGGAGAAGAAAACAAAAGUGAUUCCGUAAGUAGUGGCGAGCGAACACGGAACAGCCCAAACCGGUGUUGUUUAGGCAAUACCGGGGUAGUAGGACCACGCUGUGGCAAGCAAACAGGGAAGUGGAAUCAACUGGAAAGUUGAGCCAGAGACGGUGAAAGCCCGGUACACGACUCCCUGUGGAAGCCUAGUGGUAUCCUGAGUAACGCGGAGCACGAGGAAUUCUGCGCGAAUCAGCGGGGCCCAUCCCGUAAGGCUAAAUACUCCCGAGAGACCGAUAGCGAACCAGUACUGUGAAGGAAAGGUGAAAAGAACCCCGAACAGGGGAGUGAAAUAGACCCUGAACCCGUCUGCCUACAAGCGGUCGGAGCAGCUUCAAGCUGUGACGGCGUGCCUUUUGCAUAAUGAACCUACGAGUUACUUUCAGUGGCAAGGUUAAGUACUUCAGGUACGGAUCCGAAGCGAAAGCGAGUCUGAAAAGGGCGUCAAGUCACUGUGAGUAGACGCGAAACCAAGUGAUCUACCCUUGUCCAGGAUGAAGGUUGGGUAACACCACCUGGAGGUCCGAAUGGUUAUACGUUGAAAAGUGUUCCAAUGAGAUGAGGGUAGGGGUGAAAGGCUAAUCAAACUUGGAGAUAGCUCGUACUCCCCGAAAUGCAUUUAGGUGCAGCCUGUGUGAAGUAUAAUAUGAGGUAGAGCGACUGAUUGGAUGCGAGGGCUUCACCGCCUAUCAAGUCCAGACAAACUCCGAAUGCGUAUUAUAUGAUUCCACGGAGUGAGGGCAUGGGUGCUAAGGUCCAUGUCCGAGAGGAGAAGAAUCCAGACCACCUGCUAAGGUCCCGAAAUAAUGCUUAAGUUGAGAAAACGAAGUCAGAUUGCAAAGACAGCUAGGAUGUUGGCUUGGAAGCAGCCAUUCAUUUAAAGAGUGCGUAACAGCUCACUAGUCGAGGAAUUUGGCAUGGAUAAUAAUCGGGCAUAAAGCAUUUACCGAAGCAGUGGAAUCAGUAAUGAUUGGUAGGGGAGCAUUCCGGCGGCGUCGAAGAUAGAGGAUGACCUCUGUUGGAGCUUCCGGAAAAGCAAAUGUAGGUAUAAGUAACGAUAAAGGAGGUGAGAAACCUCCUCGCCGAAAGACUAAGGUUUCCUGAUCAACGUUAAUCGGAUCAGGGUAAGUCGGGACCUAAGGAUAAGCCGAACGGCGAAGCCGAUGGAAGAAACGGUUAAUAUUCCGUUACUACUUUAAUGAGUGACGUGGAGACGGAGAAGUGACAGUCCUGCCGGCUGACGGAAUAGCCGGUUGAAGGGUGUAGGAGUAGAUCCUUGCAGGCAAAUCCACAAGGAGAUCCGAACUUGAUAGUAUGGAGCGCACCCCGGUGCAAUCCAAAAUGGACGUAAUCAGGCUCCCGAGAAAAUCCGCUAAACCUAAUCAUUAAAGUACCCGUACCACAAACGGACACACGUAGUUGGGUUGAAAAUACUGAGGCGCUCGAGUGAGUCACGGUUAAGGAACUAGGCAAAAUGGUCCUGUAACUUCGGGAUAAAGGACGCCAAUCGUAAGAUUGGCCGCAGAGAAUAGGCCCAGGCGACUGUUUAACAAAAACACAUGGCUGUGCGAAAUAGUUAACAUGAAGUAUACAGCCUGACACCUGCCCGGUGCUGGAAGGUUAAGAGGAGGACUCAGCGCAAGCGAAGGUCUGAAUUGAAGCCCCAGUAAACGGCGGCCGUAACUAUAACGGUCCUAAGGUAGCGAAAUUCCUUGUCGGGU
rnacentral:rRNA from 1 species